GCAGGGCCUAUUGGGUGAAGAGCAUCAGACUUUUAAUCUGAGGGUCCAGGGUUCAUGUCCCUGUUCAGGCA
rnacentral:tRNA from 1 species